CAUGGCUACCGGGCUGUCUUGGGUCGGACAGCAGUGACCUCUACCUCUAGGAGAUCCAGAAACCUGGAGAGUGUUACUUCCCGUUGCUGUGAGCCCAGCUAGGCUGGUCUGUGGGGGGCUGUGGCAGACCGGUGGCCGCGGGGCCAUAUAGACUAUGCUUAGGAGAAGUAGCCGGCGAUAGAGGGGGCCCACGGAGGCACCAUGUCUGAUUUACCGAGACUCUACUGGGACAGUGGAGGUGCAAAGGCCAUCCGUUUGGUGGACUCUAGGAGAGGGGGAUAUCAUGGACUCGAGUGCUCUCCGUACUGAGAAGCAUGGUGAGGGGCUUUACCCAGAGCCGGGUGUUAGUGCAUAGGUUGGCACCCACGGGCACCUGACGAUGGUGCAUUGGGUAUGGCCCUACAGAGGCUUCACAUAACUCCUCACUCUCACACGGGAACAAGGGCAUGAAGGAAGGCAUGAGACACAUUCUCAGGCAGGGAUAGCUUAUUUUUCUUUUAUUUCCUUAAUUUCUUACUUAUUUUUUCUUCUUUUAAUAUAUAUAACCUGGCUGCACGUGCUUGGACCAAGAUCCCUGGUGUUUACAAGAGCACCCGACUAGGGAUCUUCACGUAGGGCUCUAUCCCACAGGCCCCCCCACACCCUCGGGGGAACCCUUCCCGCUUUAUUUUCUUUUCCCCUUCUUUUAUUUUAUCACAUUAUAAUUAGCCAGAUCACUAGGGGGAGAUAUACACGUCACAACACAAUAUAUAGUCUGGGCUGUGGAUUCACAACCCCAGCAGCAGAAUGGGGUAGAUCAUACAGCCUAGUUAAUGACACCGUUUUUGUCACAUGACAAAUCAUCGAUAACCAUGGGCUCCCAGGUGGCGACUAACAUACGAGCUGCCCAUGCGCUGUAUCUUUCUUCUCGCAUGUUAAGGCACAAUGUUCACAGCUGUAACCCUGUAUAUUGAUUUAGUUCAUCGCAUUACACCCUUUUUAUUUUUAGGAAAAACACACAGGAAAUAGGAUAGAGCAAAGGAAAAUUAACAACCAGACAUACACUGUGUACUGAUACUCACCUCUGAGGCCAACUUGAAAUUUCA